AGAGGAAGUAAAAGUCGUAACAAGGUUUCCGUAGGUGAACCUGCGGAAGGAUCAUUACCGGGGGAAUUAUUGCUAUUAUUAUUAUAGUCAAUUCUUUUUAAACCCUUCUGUGUAUUUUACCUGUUUUUGGGGUGAUGGAAUGUGUAUUCCAUAGAGCAAAAAUAAUAAACUCAAUAACAUAAUGAUAUUUGUCUGAUUUUGUAUAAAUAAAAAGUUAAAACUUUCAACAACGGAUCUCUUGGUUCUCGCAUCGAUGAAGAACGCAGCGAAAUGCGAUAAGUAGUGUGAAUUGCAGAAUUCAGUGAAUCAUCGAAUCUUUGAACGCACAUUGCGCCUUCUGGUAUUCUGGGAGGCAUGCCUGUUUGAGUGUCAUUAAACCCUACUCUAGCAGUUUUGCUUGGAUAUGAAGGAAGAGAGCACAUUGUAAAAAGGCCAGUGUGCACUCUCCUUUUAGAGCAGUUCUUGCUGGGAUAUGAAGGAAGAGAGUACAUUGUAAAAAGGCCAGUGUGCACUCUCCUUUGAAAUAUAUUAGUAGAUGUAAAAGUUGUUUAUUACGCUGUUUUGCUAGUCAAAAUUGGUGGUUCAACUUUAAUAUCUUGCUUUAACUGAUCAAAUUUUUUUAAUGGUUGACCUCAAAUCAGGUAGGGAUACCCGCUGAACUUAAGCAUAUCAA
rnacentral:rRNA from 1 species